AUUGAACGCUGGCGGCAUGCUUUACACAUGCAAGUCGAACGGCAGCGCGGGCUUCGGCCUGGCGGCGAGUGGCGAACGGGUGAGUAAUGCAUCGGAACGUGCCCAGUAGUGGGGGAUAGCCCGGCGAAAGCGGGAUUAAUACCGCAUACGACCUGAGGGUGAAAGCGGGGGACCGAAAGGCCUCGCGCUAUUGGAGCGGCCGAUGUCGGAUUAGCUAGUUGGUGGGGUAAAGGCUUACCAAGGCGACGAUCCGUAACUGGUCUGAGAGGACGACCAGGCACACGGGGACUGAGAGACGGGCCAGACCCCUACGGGAGGCAGCAGUGGGGAAUAUUGGACAAUGGGCGAAAGCCUGAUCAAGCCAUGCCGCGUGUGUGAAGAAGGUCUGCGGAUUGUAAAGCACUUUAAGUUGGGAGGAAGGGCAGUAAGUUAACACCUUGCUGUUUUGACGUUACCAACAGAAGAAGCACCGGCUAACUUCGUG
rnacentral:rRNA from 1 species